GCGUCCCCCAUUCUGUAUCUUUGCAUUUCGUUUUUUUUGCCUACGUGGAGUAUCUUACAUUUGUCCCUGUUGAACUUCAUUUUAUUAGUUUCAGCCCAUCUCUCUAAUCUGUUAAAACCGUUUUGAAUUCUGCUCCUGUUUUCAGGAAUAUUGGCUAUCCCUCCCAAUUUGGUGUUAUCUGCAAACUUGAUUAUCAUGCCUUCUACCCUUCGUCUAAGUCAUUAAUAAAGAUGUUGAACAGAACUGGGCCUAGGAUGGAACCCUGUGGCACUCCACUCGUGACUUCUUUCCAGGAUGAAGAAGAUGCAUUGGAUUUUAUCUGUUUGCAUCAUCUGUCCAAGAGAAAUAAAAAGAACCCAUAGACAUCUGUUGUAUCUCUAAGAGGUGGAAAGAUUAUGUAUGAAACCAUCCAGCAAGACCUUGGUGACCUUUCAUCAGUACCUCAUGACGAAGGAAAUCCCCUCCAGCUGCGUUCUUGGGCAACAUCUCAAUCAUAAAGGAUUCACUCACCCACCAUC